AGGUUAAGCUAGAAAGGGCGCACGGUGGAUGCCUUGGCACUAGGAGCCGAUGAAGGACGGGGCAAACGCCGAAACGCUCCGGGGAGCUGUAAGCAAGCGUYGAUCCGGAGAUGUCCGAAUGGGGGAACCCACUGUCCGUAAUGGGGCAGUAUCCAUGCCUGAAUCCAUAGGGCAUGGAGGGCACACCCGGGGAACUGAAACAUCUUAGUACCCGGAGGAGAAGAAAGCAAACGCGAUUCCCUGAGUAGCGGCGAGCGAAACGGGAACAGCCCAAACCAAGAGGCGUGCCUCUUGGGGUUGUAGGACCGCUCAUUGUGGGAGUGAGAAAGGAACGGGGUAGACGAACCGGUCUGGAACGGCCGGCCAGAGAAGGUGACAGCCCUGUAGUCGAAACUUCGUUCCCUCCCGAGCGGAUCCUGAGUACGGCGGGACACGGGAAAUCCCGUCGGAAGCAGGGAGGACCAUCUCCCAAGGCUAAAUACUCCCUAGUGACCGAUAGUGCACCAGUACCGUGAGGGAAAGGUGAAAAGCACCCCGGAAGGGGAGUGAAAGAGAACCUGAAACCGUGUGCCUACAAGUAGUCAGAGCGCGUUCAUGCGUGAUGGCGUGCCUUUUGUAGAAUGAACCGGCGAGUGACGAUGGCGUGCGAGGUUAAGCCGAAGAGGCGGAGCCGCAGCGAAAGCGAGUCUGAAYAGGGCGAAAAGUACGUCGUCGUCGACCCGAAACCAGGUGAUCUACCCAUGUCCAGGGUGAAGGCCGGGUAACACCGGCUGGAGGCCCGAACCCACGCACGUUGAAAAGUGCGGGGAUGAGGUGUGGGUAGGGGUGAAAUGCCAAUCGAACUUGGAGAUAGCUGGUUCUCCCCGAAAUAGCUUUAGGGCUAGCCUCGGGAUGGAGAGUGUUGGAGGUAGAGCACUGAUUGGGCUAGGGGCCCUCAUCGGGUUACCGAACCCAGUCAAACUCCGAAUGCCAACGACUUAUGCCCGGGAGUCAGACUGCGAGUGAUAAGAUCCGUGGUCGAGAGGGAAACAGCCCAGAUCGCCAGCUAAGGCCCCAAAGUGCACGUUCAGUGGAAAAGGAUGUGGAGUUGCAAAGACAACCAGGAUGUUGGCUUAGAAGCAGCCACCAUUUAAAGAGUGCGUAAUAGCUCACUGGUCGAGUGACUCUGCGCCGAAAAUGUACCGGGGCUAAACGUGCCGCCGAAGCUGCGGGAUGACCGUUGGUCAUCGGUAGGGGAGCGUUCUAAGGGCGUUGAAGCCAGACCGGAAGGACUGGUGGAGCGCUUAGAAGUGAGAAUGCCGGUAUGAGUAGCGAAAACAGAGGUGAGAAUCCUCUGCGCCGAAAGCCUAAGGGUUCCUGAGGAAGGUUCGUCCGCUCAGGGUUAGUCGGGACCUAAGCCGAGGCCGAAAGGCGUAGGUGAUGGACAACAGGUUGAGAUUCCUGUACCACCUCCUUCCCGUUUGAGCGAUGGGGGGACGCAGGAGGAUAGGGCGAGCAGGCGGCUGGAAGAGCCUGUCCAAGCCGCAAGGCUGAUCCGUAGGCAAAUCCGCGGAUUGUAAGGCCAAGCGGUGAUGGCGACGGAGUCAUCCGGAAGUCCCCGAUUUCACACUGCCAAGAAAAGCCUCUAGCGAGGGAAGAGGUGCCCGUACCGCAAACCGACACAGGUAGGCGAGGAGAGAAUCCUAAGGCGCGCGGGAGAACUCUCGUUAAGGAACUCGGCAAAAUGACCCCGUAACUUCGGGAGAAGGGGUGCUCGUUUGGGUGAAGAGCCCGAACGAGCCGCAGUGAAAAGGCCCAAGCGACUGUUUAUCAAAAACACAGGUCUCUGCGAAGCCGAAAGGCGACGUAUAGGGGCUGACACCUGCCCGGUGCUGGAAGGUUAAGGGGAGCGCUUAGCGGAAGCGAAGGUGCGAACCGAAGCCCCAGUAAACGGCGGCCGUAACUAUAACGGUCCUAAGGUAGCGAAAUUCCUUGUCGGGUAAGUUCCGACCCGCACGAAAGGUGUAACGACUUGGGCGCUGUCUCAACGAGAGACCCGGUGAAAUUAUACUACCUGUGAAGAUGCAGGUUACCCGCGACAGGACGGAAAGACCCCGUGGAGCUUUACUGCAGCCUGAUAUGGAAUUUUGGUAUCGCUUGUACAGGAUAGGUGGGAGCCUGGGAAGCCGGAGCGCCAGCUUCGGUGGAGGCGGCGGUGGGAUACCACGGGGUGGGAGACAGUGUCAGGCGGGCAGUUUGACUGGGGCGGUCGCCUCCCAAAAGGUAACGGAGGCGCCCAAAGGUUCCCUCAGAAUGGUUGGAAAUCAUUCGGAGAGUGCAAAGGCACAAGGGAGCUUGACUGCGAGACGGACAGGUCGAGCAGGGACGAAAGUCGGGCUUAGUGAUCCGGUGGUUCCGCAUGGAAGGGCCAUCGCUCAACGGAUAAAAGCUACCCCGGGGAUAACAGGCUGAUCUCCCCCAAGAGUCCACAUCGACGGGGAGGUUUGGCACCUCGAUGUCGGCUCAUCGCAUCCUGGGGCUGUAGUCGGUCCCAAGGGUUGGGCUGUUCGCCCAUUAAAGCGGUACGCGAGCUGGGUUCAGAACGUCGUGAGACAGUUCGGUCCCUAUCCGUCGCGGGCGCAGGAAAUUUGAGAGGAGCUGUCCUUAGUACGAGAGGACCGGGAUGGACGCACCGCUGGUGUACCAGUUGUCCCGCCAGGGGCACCGCUGGGUAGCUAUGUGCGGACGGGAUAAGCGCUGAAAGCAUCUAAGCGUGAAGCCCCCCUCAAGAUGAGAUUUCCCACCGCGUCAGGCGGGUAAGAUCCCUCGAAGAUGACGAGGUCGAUAGGUCCGAGGUGGAAGCGUGGCGACACGUGGAGCUGACGGAUACUAAUCGAUCGAGGGCUUAACC
rnacentral:rRNA from 1 species